rnacentral:piRNA from 1 species
UGGAAGAUGUCUACAUCCAGGACCUAG